UGGGGAAUUUUGGACAAUGGGCGCAAGCCUGAUCCAGCCAUGCCGCGUGCGGGAAGAAGGCCUUCGGGUUGUAAACCGCUUUUGUCAGGGAAGAAAUCUUCUGAGUUAAUACCUCGGGAGGAUGACGGUACCUGAAGAAUAAGCACCGGCUAACUACGUGCCAGCAGCCGCGGUAAUACGUAGGGUGCAAGCGUUAAUCGGAAUUACUGGGCGUAAAGCGUGCGCAGGCGGUUUUGUAAGACAGAGGUGAAAUCCCCGGGCUCAACCUGGGAACUGCCUUUGUGACUGCAAGGCUUGAGUGCGGCAGAGGGGGAUGGAAUUCCGCGUGUAGCAGUGAAAUGCGUAGAUAUGCGGAGGAACACCGAUGGCGAAGGCAAUCCCCUGGGCCUGCACUGACGCUCAUGCACGAAAGCGUGGGGAGCAAACAGGAUUAGAUACCCUGGUAGUCCACGCCCUAAACGAUGUCAACUGGUUGUUGGGAAGGUUCCUUCUCAGUAACGUAGCUAACGCGUGAAGUUGACCGCCUGGGGAGUACGGCCGCAAGGUUGAAACUUAAAGGAAUUGACGGGGUCAUAGC
rnacentral:rRNA from 1 species